UACGAAGGGGGCUAGCGUUGCUCGGAAUUACUGGGCGUAAAGGGCGCGUAGGCGGCCUGCUAAGUCGAACGUGAAAUCCCUGGGCUCAACCCAGGAACUGCGUCCGAUACUGGUUGGCUUGAAUCCGGGAGAGGGAUGCGGAAUUCCAGGUGUAGCGGUGAAAUGCGUAGAUAUCUGGAGGAACACCGGUGGCGAAGGCGGCAUCCUGGACCGGCAUUGACGCUGAGGCGCGAAAGCGUGGGGAGCAAACAGG
rnacentral:rRNA from 1 species